CCUACGGGAGGCUGCAGUGAGGAAUAUUGGUCAAUGGGCGGAAGCCUGAACCAGCCAAGUAGCGUGCAGGAUGACGGCCCUACGGGUUGUAAACUGCUUCUAUACGGGAAUAACGCGCCUUACGUGUAGGGCUUUGCAUGUACCGUAUGAAUAAGGACCGGCUAAUUCCGUGCCAGCAGCCGCGGUAAUACGGAAGGUCCGGGCGUUAUCCGGAUUUAUUGGGUUUAAAGGGAGCGUAGGCCGCAUGUCAAGUUUGCGGUGAAAUGUCCGGGCUCAACCCGGGCCUUGCAGCGCGAACUGGCGUGCUAGAGUCCGCGGACAGCAGGCGGAAUGCGUGGUGUAGCGGUGAAAUGCUUAGAUAUGACGAAGAACCCCGAUUGCGAAGGCAGCUUGCUGCAGCGGAACUGACGCUGAUGCUCGAAAGCGCGGGUAUCGAACAGGAUUAGAUACCCGUGUAGUC
rnacentral:rRNA from 1 species